AGUGAACGCUGGCGGUAGGCCUAACACAUGCGAGUCGAACGGCAGCACAGUAAGAGCUUGCUCUUACGGGUGGCGAGUGGCGGACGGGUGAGGAAUACAUCGGAAUCUACUUUUUCGUGGGGGAUAACGUAGGGAAACUUACGCUAAUACCGCAUACGACCUACGGGUGAAAGCAGGGGAUCUUCGGACCUUGCGCGAUUGAAUGAGCCGAUGUCGGAUUAGCUAGUUGGCGGGGUAAAGGCCCACCAAGGCGACGAUCCGUAGCUGGUCUGAGAGGAUGAUCAGCCACACUGGAACUGAGACACGGUCCAGACUCCUACGGGAGGCAGCAGUGGGGAAUAUUGGACAAUGGGCGCAAGCCUGAUCCAGCCAUACCGCGUAGGUGAAGAAGGCCUUCGGGUUGUAAAGCCCUUUUGUUGGGAAAGAAAAGCAGCAGGUUAAUACCCCGCUGUUCUGACGGUACCCAAAGAAUAAGCACCGGCUAACUUCGUG
rnacentral:rRNA from 1 species